GCCGUGUCCUUUCCGCGGUCCGCCCAGUUGCCGGCAUGCCUGUCUCCGAGCUCCGCACAAGAGACGGGAGAACGCCGGGGAACGGGAGGAGCCCGAAGUUGCGGAUCCCACGAGGAAGCGUCCUGCACUUCCUGGUGACAAGGCAGACUCCCAGAAGCACCAGCAACAGCAGCAUGACAGCAGCAAAUGCACUCCCGAGGGAAGCACCCGUCUGUGAUAAGGAGGCUGCGACCACAGCUUCCUCCAUCUCCAAGAUCAGCGACUUCAUGUUGGUGCCGUUCUUGACCUGAUCGCCCUCGUUGUCGUAGAUCAAGGAGUCAUCCAGCAUCAGCCUCCCAUCACUGUCAACCAGGUCCCUGCGGCCACGCUUUAAGUGCUUGGACCUGUCUGCCUAGUACUACAAAAAGCCCCAGCAUUUCACUUCUAAUCUCUUUGUAGACAGAGCCUGUUUGCUGUAGGGAAAACAAAUCCAAAGCAGAAGCAGAGGACAGCACUGCAAGCAAAUUAUUUCGGUCUAAUAUUCAUUCUCACCUCUGAACUUGGCCUGGGUCUUGAACUCAAUAACCAGUCGGCCAUCCUCACGGAUGUAGAUUCUGAUUAUCUGCAGCCGGGCUGAGAGGACACUGUCCGUCUGAAUCCCUGUGUGGUACAGCAAGAACAAAGUCACUGGGGAGAACACGUGGCACAGCAGUCCUCAGGUGGUGUCUGUCAGCCCUUGGUAGCUCCAGAAGCAUCUGAGAGAGCUCCAAAAAGGCACAGUUUGACUGAGAUCAUCCUCCAGGUGAGUCAGCUGUACGCUUCCAGGUAUUGUGGGAAAGAAAAAUAAGUGAGCUGAAAAUAGAAGACUCACAGGCAAAGGAUAAACUGUAAAUAUACACAGUGAUGUCAGGUCUUGGAUGUCACCGGCAGCGGUGGACAGGCACAGUAUGGGACCCACCACUGGCAGUACUGUGGUUUUAACAAGAAAGGGGCUAUGAUGUGAAAAAAUCAACCUGUAAGAGCUAGGAGGCUGAGGAUCACAACUGCAGUUCCCACGUGGAAUUCAGCGGAAAGCACUGGAGAAGCCAUGCCAAAUGUCCCAUGGGAAGCAACCUCUGCCUGGAUGCGGAGGCUCCAAUGAACACAUAGCUCUUUUCCUGCAGCAUCUCAGUGAUGACUGUUUCCAUUAACAGACAUCAGGGGAAAUGACAACUCCCUUACUAAGCUUUCACAAAUGCAAGCACAACUGGACUGACACUGCAUGCUGCCCAGACUCAGGACUGCAGUGACAGUCAAGAAACUAAGAAAAAGGGAAAACUGAGAAGAAAACAAUACUCCUGUACACUCUCAAGUGCCUUGGACGUACCUGUCCUCCAGAGAACAGUGUCGUAGAAAAAGGAGAACUCCAUCUCUGUGUGAUGCUCAAGAGAAGCCCAGCCUCUCGGCGCUGUCACAUAAAUAUAGGACACAUAGAGGGGGACGUGGACUGUUAGGAAGGACUGAGCAGAGUCCCGUACCUGUCAACAGAACCCAAGCAGGUGAUUAUGCACUCUUCACAGGAGAGACACUGGCUUGGACUUGCAGCACCCUCUUUGUUCACAUUCUGCUCUGCAAAUGGGGAAAAAAGCCACAGUGUCUGUAACAAAAGACUCCUAUUUAGUAGAGGUGAGAUGAGACCAAGCACACUGGUGCAGUCAGGGGUAAAUCUUUUUCCCUUCCUUUUAAUGCCUGAACUAUUCACUGCAGGAAUAAAACAUCUGCAUCCACGUUACAGACUGCAGCCUAAAGGGAUGAGACACAAACACAACUGGGGAUGGCAGCAUGGAGUCCUGCCUGCCAUGCACUACUGUAGCUUCCUUGGUACCCCUGUGUCACAUAAGCUCUGUGGCGCAGAUGUGGCCAGACUGGGGAAUGCUACUCUCACACAGUAGAAAUGUUCUAAAAAAACUCUGUAAAUGUGAGUGUUUUCCAGGCUGCUCCCACUAACUGAAUGACUAUCAAGCAAGCAAUGGUACUUGACUGCUGAGAGCAGAAUUUUAGAAAGGGCUCAAAAGAGCUCCCAGGUUCACUGCUCCCACUGUGGAUCCAAAAUUAAGCAGGCCCUUCUGACUGUGGGAACCCUCACCAGGCUUCUAGAAAGAGGGAGAAAGCUUGAGUCCCGGAUCAGCAACAAGUGUAUGCAUCACCCUUUUUGGCAGACCUCCUGAUAUGUGGAUUUGAACAUCUGUGAUGGAUGUAAAAUGAAAACGCCUACAGUGUUUCUGGGAAAUCAGAGGCAUGCAAGUUGUUCCACAGUCACUCCAAU
rnacentral:lncRNA from 1 species